UAUGUAUUACAUGAUUGAUUAUAUUAAGCUUAAGUGUAAUUGUAUAAUGUGUGAAAACUAAUAAAACAUGGUAUCCUGUCAAUAUCUUAUUGAUCGUUAGAGAUUAGCAUGUUUGUUUUGAUUUCACAAUUAUCUUCGCUUGGUUUUCUAAUGGAUCUACUAAUAUCUAAUUUCUCAUUUCUUUUAUUUUCUAUUUCUUUUCUUUUUAAAAAUUUUUGAUGGAAAGUAUUUGAGAUAAAAUUUAUUUCACUCUUUUAGAUAAACUAUAUAUAUGAUGAUUUAUGUAAUUUAAAUGUAAUUAUAUAAUGUGUGAAUACUAAUCAAACAUGAUAGUCCGUUAAUUAAAUUUUAUUGAUCGUUAGAGAUAAACAUAUUUGUUUUGAUUUUUAGGCUAGUUAUUUUUCAAAAAAAAAGUUUUCAUCAAAUUUUUUUAGAAAAAGUAAUACUUUAAUGAUUUUUUUUCACCUAUGUAUAAUGUAUACACUAAAAUUUUAUAUUUUAUACGUUAUAAUUUUUAACAUUUAAAAAAAAAUUAUGAAUCAAUAAUAUUAAUAUAAAAUUUUAUCCGAAAGACUCACCAUUAAAUGCAUAAACAAAAACACAAACAAACUUAAAUCCUAUAAUCCUAAGCAUUAUUCUAAACCAAACCCUAAACCCAACCUAAACUAAUGCUAAACCUUUCCUACUACCUAAACUUUAAAUUCUACCUAACCCUAAACCCUAGCUAAACCUAGACCUUAACCAUAUCUAACCCUAAACCCUACAUAAACCUAACCCUAAUCCCUAAACCCUUCCUACUACCUAAGCAUAUCUAACCGUAAACCCUACCUAACCCUAAACCCUAUUUAACCCUAAACCCUACCUAACACUAAACCUUACCUAACCCUAAAACCCUACCUAAAACCUAACCCUAAACCAUACUAACCCUAAACCCUACCUAACCCUAAAUCCUACUAACCCUAAACCCUACUUAACACUAAACUCUACCUAACCUAAACCCUACCUCACCCUAAAACCUUUCUAAACCUAGAUCAUAUCUAGCCCUAAACCCUACCUAACCCUAAACCCUACUAACCCUAAACCCUACCUAACCUAAACCCUACCUAAUCCUAAAACCUUUCUAAACCUAAAUCCUAUCUAGCCCUAAACCCUACCUAACCCUAAACCCUACUAACCCUAAACCCUACCUAACCCUAAACCCUACCUAAUUCUAAACUCUACCUAAUCCUAAACCCUACCUAACCCUAAACCCUUUCUAACCCUAAAUCCUUUCUAACCCUAAACCCUACUAACCCUAAACCCUACCUCACCCUAAACCUUACCUAACCCUAAAUCCUACCUAAUUCUAAACCCUACUAACCCUAAACCCUACCUAACCCUAAACCCUACCUACCCUUAACCCUACCUAACCCUAAACCCUACCUACCAUAAACCCUACUUAACCAUAAACCCUUUCUAACCCUAAACCCUACCUAACCCUAAACCCUUCCUAACCCUAAACCCUACUAACCCUAAACCCUGUCUAACCCUAAACCCUGCCUAACCUUAAACCCUACCAAAUUCUAAACCCUACUAACCCUAAACCCUGCCUAACCCUAAACCCUACCUACCCUAAACCCUACCUAACCUUAAACCCUAUCUAACCCUAAACCCUACUAACUCUAAACCCUGCCUAACCCUAAACCCUGCCUAACCCUAAACCCUGCCUAACCCUAAACCCUACCUAACCCUAAACUCUUUCGAACCCUAAACCCUUUCUAACCUUAAACCCUUUCUAACUCUAAACCCUACCUAACCCUAAACCCUGCCUAACCCUAAACCCUGCCUAACCCUUAACCCUGCCUAACCCUAAACCCUACCUAAUUCUAAACCUUGCCUAACCCUAAACCCUACUAACCUUAAACCCUACCAAACUCUAAACCCUACCUAACCCUAAACUUCCUAAACCUUACCUACCGCUAACUCUACCUAACCCUAAACCCUACCUACCCUAAACCCUACCUAACCUUAAACCCUUUCUAACCCUAAACCCUACCUAACCCUAAACCCUACCUAACCCUAAACCCUAUCUAACCCUAAACCCUUUCUAACCCUAAACCCUGCCUAACCCUAAACUCUGCCUAACCUUAAACCCUGCCUAACCUUAAACCCUACCUAAUUCUAAACCCUACCUAACCCUAAACCCUACUAAUCCUAAACCCUACCUAAUCCUAAACUCUUUCUAACCCUAAACCCUACCGAACCCUAAACCCUUUCUAAUCCUAAACCCUACCUAACCCUAAACCCUUUCUAACCCUAAAUCCUACCUAACCCUAAAACCUGCCUAACCCUAAAACCUGCCUAAUUCUAAAUCCUGCCUAACCCUAAACCCUACCUAAUUCUAAACCCUACCUAACCCUAAACCCUACUAACCUUAAACCCUACCUAACCCUAAACCCUACCUAACCCUAAACCCUUUUUAACCCUAAACCCUGCCUAACCCUAAAAUCUACCUAACCCUAAACCCUUUCUAACCCUAAACCCAACCUAACCCUAAACCCUGCUAACCUAAACCCUGCCUAAACCUAACCCUAAACCCUUUCUAACCCUAAACCAUUUCUAACACUAAACCCUACCUAACCCUAAACCCUGCCUAACCCUAAACCCUUUCUAACCUUAAACCCAACCUAACCCUAAACCCUGCUAACC
rnacentral:lncRNA from 1 species